CUUGGUCAUUUAGAGGAAGUAAAAGUCGUAACAAGGUUUCCGUAGGUGAACCUGCGGAAGGAUCAUUCAUAAUAAGUGUUAUAUGGCACUUUUUAAAUCCAUAUCCACCUUGUGUGCAAUGUCAGUCGAUCUUCUUCAUGGAGAUCGACCAAACAUCAACCUUUAUUUUUUAACUCUUUGUCUGAAAAAUAUUAUGAAUAAACAAUUCAAAAUACAACUUUCAACAACGGAUCUCUUGGCUCUCGCAUCGAUGAAGAACGCAGCGAAAUGCGAUACGUAAUGUGAAUUGCAGAAUUCAGUGAAUCAUCGAAUCUUUGAACGCAUAUUGCGCUCUUUGGUAUUCCGAAGAGCAUGCUUGUUUGAGUAUCAGUAAACACCUCAAAGCUUUUGGAUUUUUUAAUCGAAAAGCUUUGGACUUGAGCAAUCCCAACACCAAUCUUUUUGAGAUCGGUGGCGGGUUGCUUGAAAUGCAGGUGCAGCUGGACAUUCUCCUGAGCUAAAAGCAUAUUCAUUUAGUCCCGUCAAACGGAUUAUUACUUUUGCUGCAGCUAACAUAAAGGGAGUUUGACCGUAUUGGCUGACUGAUGCAGGAUUUCACAAGGGUCGGCAACGAUUCUUGUUAAACUCGAUCUCAAAUCAAGUAAGACUACCCGCUGAACUUAAGCAUAUCAAUAAGCGGAGGA
rnacentral:rRNA from 1 species